UCUCGAUAACGUAAAAGUUAAGUCAAAUUUGUAGGGAGUUGGAACGUUUGCUUAUGUUUGCCGCUAGGAGCACUGUACCAGCUGCAUACAAAUUUCAGGUUUUAUAUAUUUA
rnacentral:pre_miRNA from 9 species